GGGGGGCUCUUAUAGCUACUUUUGCCUAGGGCACCUUGUCACGCAGUGCUGGCCCUGAGCUGGGGUUAUAGCACAUAAGCAAUAGAGUGUUUACCCCAAAUUGCCGCUGUUGUAUAGGGCCUCAUCUGUUGGUAAGCACAACGGCAUUACAGAUCCAUUGAAAGGUGGAUGUGGAAUGAAGCAGCCGAUAAAGGAAGCCUACUUUACCUUCAGAUCUUCUUCUUCAAAAUGGAUCAGCCAGUGUGCUGCAGUCAUGAGCCAGCGGUCACUAAUCACCACUGCACCUGCUCUCGAUCCAUGUGAAGAGAUGUGCACUUGCCACGGAAUGGAGCCUUCAGGAGCCAAUCCAACAUUACCUGGAUUAGCAAGGAUGGACGUGGUAGGCCGCCCACACACUUGAUGACAAACAAGCCCCCAAAAAUGAGAACGUAUUAAAAUUAAAACAAUUAGGAAGCUUUUCCAUGACUGAAAAUGUGGCACUGUGUCCAUGUAUUAGUAAACUGCUUCUCAGUGGAAACCAGCGGUGUCCAAACUACUUGAAGCCGCCCAGUUUUUACUGGCCCGCAGCAAAUUAUGCAAAUAUAAUUAAAUGUUGCUUGCACAAAAUGCUCAAAUUCAGCCUACAACCUUUUGCACUUCUCAUCUUGAACACUUGCUGGAGCUAGUCACUUAAACAGUGCUCCUAAAUUAGCUCAGGAGUCAAAACUUGACAACAAAUUGAAAUUAAUGUAAGAAAAUGUAAAAAUUCUGCAUUUUGUUUUACGUUCA